AACGCACAUUGCGCCCCUUGGUAUUCCGGGGGGCAUGCCUGUUCGAGCGUCAUCAAAACCUCUCAAGCCUGGCUUGGUGUUGGGGUCCGCGGCUUCGCGGCCCUUAAAAUCAGUGGCGGUGCCGUCUGGCUCUAAGCGUAGUAAUGCUCUCGCUACAGGGUCCAUUCGGUGGCUACCAGAACCCCCCACUUCUAAGUUUUGACCUCGGAUCAGGUAGGGAUACCCGCUGAACUUAA
rnacentral:misc_RNA from 1 species